UGUGGCUGGGAGCAUUAACUGCAGCCACAUUAGAAUAAAGCCUCCUGGGGAAUACAAGGAGGAUUAUUAUAAUAGAAAGUUGUUCCAUUCAAUUCAGCUGCAGGCCAUUUGUGACCAUAAAGGGCGCUUCCUCAAUGCUUUUGUUGGCCUUCCUGGCUCGGUCCAUGAUGCCCGGGUGCUCAGGUGGAGCUCUGUGUAUGUGCAGCAGCUGUACCCACCACCUGGGUGGUGCAUCAUAGGCGAUGGAGGCUAUCCUUGCCUUGCUACCCCCAUCUGCCUGAUGACCCCGUUCCGGGAGCCAGUACAGGGCCCCGUGCAGGCCAGGUACAACAAGCACCUGUCAAAGGCAAGGUGUGUUGUGGAGAGGGCCUUCGGGAUGAUGAAGACCAGGUGGAGAUCCAUCUUUCUGAAGGCCCUUGAGGUAAAGUCAACCUUUGCCCCAGUGGUGGUGUCCUGCUGUGUCUUCCUCCACAACUUGUGCCUAUCAAAUGGAGACUUUGUGGAGCCAGGAGACUUUCCACAGGAUCUCCCCGACAACAAUGAAAUGCAGCAUGCUGUGGAACCAGGGGACAACAUCAGGCGCAGACUGGCUGCUGCUGUCUCUGCACCAAAUGCCUGCAUAGAUGCACUGAGAGAUCAUGCGUACUGAACAUGGUCUGCACCCUGGAGACUCAUUUAUAAAUAGUUAAAUAGCCUGUAUAUAGUUCUUUGCUUUUUCCUAGUGUUGUCUUUUGUCUGUGUAUGCCCCAUGUUCCGUCUUUUGUGUUUUAUUAACCUUGUCCUGUCUUACUAACAAUUAUAUUCACAACUUGUUCAAUAAAAAUGAUUUGUUAUAACUAAA